rnacentral:rRNA from 1 species
UACAGAGGGUGCGAGCGUUGUCCGGAAUCACUGGGCGUAAAGGGCGCGUAGGCGGCGCGGUAAGCGUGCGGUGAAAGCCCGGGGCUCAACCCCGGGUCGGCCGUGCGGACUGGCAUGCUCGAGCACUGUAGGGGCGGGUGGAAUUCCGGGUGUAGCGGUGGAAUGCGUAGAGAGUCCGGAAGAACACCGGUGGCGAAGGCGGCCCGCUGGGCAGGAAGGAAGCGUAAGCUUCCGGCUGACGCUGAGGCGCGACAGCGUGGGGAGCAAACAGG